rnacentral:sRNA from 2 species
GAAUAUGAUCGGCCUAAUCUCAGAAAUGAGAGCGGAGGAACCACCUUUUAUUGGGGUUAAUUCUACAGAUUGUAGAAGGGAUGAGAUUUUCUCUUUCGCCAUCCUACCCGUCAGCUAACUUCGUCGGCUAAAGCGAGGGAGGUC